rnacentral:rRNA from 1 species
UGGGGAAUAUUGCACAAUGGAGGCAACUCUGAUGCAGCAAUGUCGCGUGAGUGAAGAAGGCCCUUGGGUCGUAAAGCUCUUUUAUGGGGGAAGAUGAUGACGGUACCCCAAGAAUAAGCACCGGCUAACUAUGUGCCAGCAGCCGCGGUAAUACAUAGGGUGCGAGCGUUGUUCGGAAUUACUGGGCGUAAAGGGCGCGCAGGCGGAAUAGUAAGUCGGAGGUGAAAGCCCGGGGCUCAACCCCGGAGGGUCUUUCGAAACUGCUAAUCUAGAGAGGGUCAGGGGCCGGCAGAAUUCCUGGUGUAGAGGUGAAAUUCGUAGAUAUCAGGAGGAAUACCGGUGGCGAAAGCGGCCGGCUGGGACCACUCUGACGCUGAGGCGCGAAAGCGUGGGGAGCAAACAGG